UACGUAGGGACCAAGCGUUGUUCGGAUUUACUGGGCGUAAAGGGCGCGUAGGCGGCGUGACAAGUCACUUGUGAAAUCUCUGGGCUUAACCCAGAACGGCCAAGUGAAACUGUUGUGCUAGAGUGCAGAAGGGGCAAUCGGAAUUCUCGGUGUAGCGGUGAAAUGCGUAGAUAUCGAGAGGAACACCAGAGGUGAAGACGGGUUGCUGGGCUGACACUGACGCUGAGGAGCGAAAGCCAGGGGAGCAAACGGG
rnacentral:rRNA from 1 species